rnacentral:lncRNA from 1 species
AUUACAGUAAAAUGAGAAACACCCUUUAGAAAUUAUGAAAAGAAGCAAAAAAAAACAUAAAAUAAAUUCUUUCGACAAUUCAUCCAAAAUUAUGUAUUUGUAUAUAUAAACAAAAUAAAAGUUGACGUGCAUGGGUGCACGUGAGAGAUGGCACCCCCCGGUGGACAUAGCGAAGAGGACCGGCGUUCUUUCCGGUGCGGCAUGUGCGUCUCUGAUGGCUUUGCGCCUUCAGAGAAUGAUUUGCUGUAACUAAGCGAAUAUAAUUAAGACGACGAGAGGGAAUGAAAUGGAUGGUAUGCAUACAUACAUACAUACAGUCGGCAGCCUUCUGCAUGUCCGACGCUGCUCCAUCUGCUCUCGUUUGUAUAUCCACCGUACGAGUCGACUCUCUCGGGGCUCACAAACAAGCCGAGGAAGUCCAGCAGCAGAAGCAAACGCCAGCGUUUCCCGUGCGUUGGCAGGCACGCCGCGAGGAGGCAUCACCAUCAAGGCGCUGUACUCGAUCGUGUUGCCUAUGGAUCGUUGCUUGCGCAACACAGACCGUAUAAAAGCUCGAGCUCAACCGGAUCGAGUACGCAAACUACGGAUCACUCCGCAAGUAAUGCUACGGCCACGGGCAUAAGCCUGGGUUUUGGUGUCUUUGCAUGAUAGCCUCCUUAUUCUAUGCUGUAUUUUGGAAUGGUGGAUGCAGAAUGCAGAGGUCGAUGUAGAUGUUUAGUAUAUCGCCUAGAUCGUGGAGAGCUUAGCUGUAAAUUGAUCUCAAGUCAACCUAUGAUCCCGU